rnacentral:rRNA from 1 species
UACGAAGGGGGCGAGCGUUGUUCGGAUUUACUGGGCGUAAAGGGCGCGCAGGCGGUUCUGUUUGUCGAGUGUGAAAGCCCCGGGCUCAACCUGGGAACUGCGCUCGAAACGGCGGAACUAGAGUUCGGGAGAGGAGAGUGGAAUUCCCAGUGUAGAGGUGAAAUUUCGUAGAUAUUGGGAAGAACACCGGUGGCGAAGGCGGCUCUCUGGACCGAUACUGACGCUGAUGCACGAAAGCUAGGGGAGCAAACAGG